AUGGGCUCCAGGCUCCUCCACUGGGCGAUGCUUUGUCUCCUGGGGACAGGCCCAACAGAGGCUGGAGUCACCCAAACUCCAAGACACCUGAUCAAAGCAAGAGGACAGCAAGUGACAUUGAGAUGUUCCCCUGUCUCUGGGCACAACCGGGUGUACUGGUACCAACAGGCCCUGGGUCAGGGUCUCCAGUUCCUCAUUCAGUAUUAUAAUGGGGAAGAGGGAGAAAAAGGAAACUUUCCUGCCCGAUUCUCAGGUCACCAGUUCAGUGACUAUCGCUCUGAGCUGAACAUGAGUGCCUUGGAGCUGGGGGACUCAGCCCUGUAUCUCUGUGCCAGCAACUUCCACAGCCCUGCAGAGCCACAAACAUUCUGUGCACAAACUUCCUGGUUCAGCUCUGCCUCUAGAGCUGCAGGCUUUACCGAAGUUUCACUACUUCAAGGUGUGCUUCCAGUUGUUUCCAACGCAUUUCCCGUGUCCGGCUGA